ncrna:Renibacterium salmoninarum ATCC 33209 ykkC-III RNA
AAAGGGCCAAAGGCGCCCGGACGAGGUGCGCCGUACCCGGCCAGCGACAAGACGGCGUAAG